UUGACACUCAAAAAAUGGAAAUCCAUGAUUUCAAAGUGAAAACAAUCCUAACAUUUUUGUUCAGAUACAUAAGGGUAGCUGUUUAGUUUGUCCAUCAGGAAGGUGGAACAUGAGCAUAUGUGCUAGGACCCGAAAGAUGGUGAACUAUGACUGGGCAGGGUGAACCCAGGGGACACUCUGGUGAAGAGAUGUCAUUAUUCCCCUUUAUUCGGCUUUGGUGAGGCCACAUCUGGAGUAUUGUGUCCAGUUCUGGGCCCCCCACUACAAAAGGGAUGUAGACAUAUUGGAGAGGGUGCAGUGGAGGGCAACCAAAAUGAUUAGGGGGCUGGAGCAUAUGACUUAUGAGGAGAGGCUGAGGGAGUUGGGUCUGUUUAGUCUGCAGAAGCGAAGAGUGAGGGGGGAUUUGAUAGCAGCCUUCAACUUCCUGAAGGGAGGUUUCAAAGAGGAUGGAGAGAGGCUGUUCUCAGUGGUGACAGAUGGCAGAACAAGGAGCAAUGGUCUCAAGUUGUGGUGGGAGAGGUCCAGGCUGGAUAUUAGGGGGAAAAAAAUUUACUAGAAGGGUAGUGAAGCACUGGAAUGGGUUACCUAGGGAAAUAGUGGAGUCUCCAUCCCUAGAGGUGUUUAAGUCUCGGCUUGACAAAGCCCUGGCCGGGUUGAUUUAGUUGGGAUUGGCCCUACCUAGAGCAGGGGUCUGGACUUGAUGACCUUCUGAGAUCUCUUCCAGUUCUAUGGUUCUAUGAUUCUAUGAAGGUCCGUAGAAGUCCUGAUGUGCAUAUUGGUUAUCCAACCUGGGUAUAGGGACGAAAGGCUAAUCAAACCAUCUAGUAGCUGGUUCCCUCCAAAGUUUCCCUCAUGAUCGCUGACGCUCGUUCGUCUCCACAGUUUUAUCUGGUAAAGCGAAUGAUUAGAGGUCUUGGGGCUGAAAGGAUCUCAAUCUAUUCUCAAACUCUUUAAAUAGGUAAGAAACCCAGCUCGCUGGCAUGGAGCCAAGCGUGGAAUGCGAGUGCCUAGUGGGCCGCUUUUGGUAAGCAGAACUGGCACUGUGGGAUUAACCAAAUGCCGGGUUAAUGCGCCCGAUGCAGACACUCAUCAGACCCCAGAAAAGGUGUUGGUUGAUAUAGACAGCAGGACCGUGGCCAUGGAAGUUGAAAUCCACUAAGGAGUGUGUAACAACUUCCCUGCCGAACCAAUUAGACCUCAAAACGGAUGGUGCUGGGGCAUCGGGCCCAUAUCCAGCUGUUACUAUUCUUUUUGGGGGAGGAAUAGCUCAAUGGUUUGAGCAUUGGCCUGCUAAACCCAGCAUUGUGAGUUCA
rnacentral:ncRNA from 1 species